UGAGGAAUUUUCCGCAAUGGGCGAAAGCCUGACGGAGCAAUACCGCGUGAGGGAUGAAGGAUUUUGGUCUGUAAACCUCUUUUUUCAAGAAAGAAGCUCUGACGGUACUUGAAGAAUAAGCAUCGGCUAACUCCGUGCCAGCAGCCGCGGUAAUACGGGGGAUGCAAGCGUUAUCCGGAAUUAUUGGGCGUAAAGCGCCUGUAGGUUGUUUAGUAAGUUUGUUGUUAAAGACUAGGGCUUAACCCUAGGAAAGCGAUGAAAACUACUAGACUUGAGUAUGGUAGGGGUAGAGGGAAUUUCUAGUGUAGUGGUGAAAUGCGUAGAUAUUAGAAAGAACACCGGUGGCGAAAGCGCUCUACUGGACCAUUACUGACACUGAGAGGCGAAAGCUAGGGGAGCAAAAGGGAUUAGAUACCCCUGUAGUCCUAGCCGUAAACGAUGGGUACUAGGUGUUGUGUUUUAUAUACAGUACCGUAGCUAACGCGUUAAGUACCCCGCCUGGGGAGUACGCUCGCAAGGGUGAAACUCAAAGGAAUUGACGGGGGCCCGCACAAGCGGUGGAGCAUGUGGUUUAAUUCGAUGCAACGCGAAGAACCUUACCAGAACUUGACAUACUACGAAUCUUCUGGAGAUAGAAGAGUGCCUUCGGGAAUGUAGAUACAGGUGGUGCAUGGCUGUCGUCAGCUCGUGUCGUGAGAUGUUGGGUUAAGUCCCG
rnacentral:rRNA from 1 species